AGCAGCCGCGGUAAUUCCAGCUCCAAUAGCGUAUAUUAAAGUUGUUGCAGUUAAAAAGCUCGUAGUUGAAUUUCGGGGUUAGUAGGCUGGUCAUGCCUCUGGUAUGUACUGGUCUCACUGAUUCCUCCUUCCUGAUGAACCUUAAUGCCAUUAAUUUGGUGUUUUGGGGAAUUUGGACUGUUACUUUGAAAAAAUUAGAGUGUUUAAAGCAAGCUAACGCUUGAAUACAUUAGCAUGGAAUAAUGAAAUAGGACGUUCGAUCCUAUUUUGUUGGUUUCUAGGAUUGACGUAAUGAUUAAUAGGGAUAGUUGGGGGCAUUAGUAUUCAAUUGUCAGAGGUGAAAUUCUUGGAUUUAUUGAAGACUAACUACUGCGAAAGCAUUUGCCAAGGAUGUUUUCAUUAAUCAAGAACGAAAGUUAGGGGAUCGAAGACGAUCAGAUACCGUCGUAGUCUUAACCAUAAACUAUGCCGACUAGGGAUCGGAUGAUGUUAAUUUUUUAAUGACUCAUUCGGCGCCUUA
rnacentral:misc_RNA from 1 species